rnacentral:rRNA from 1 species
CCUACGGGUGGCAGCAGUGAGGAAUAUUGGUCAAUGGCCGGAAGGCUGAACCAGCCAUGCCGCGUGAAGGUCAGUGCCCUAUGGGCGUUAAACUUCUUUUGUGCGGGAGCAGUCAUGGUCACGUGUGGCCAGACGAGAGUACCGUACGAAUAAGCAUCGGCUAACUCCGGGCCAGCAGCAGCGGUAAUACGGGGGAUGCAAGCGUUAGCCGGAUUAAUUUGGUUUAAGGGGGGCGUAGGCGGUGCGGUAAGUCAGGGGUGAAAUGUCCCCGCUCAACGGGGUGAAGUGCCAUUGAUACUGCCUUGCUGGAAUGCGGAUGCCGUGGGAGGAAUGUGUGGUGUAGCGGGGAAAUGCAUAGAUAGCACACAGAACACCGAUUGCGAAGGCAUCUCACGAAUCCGCGAUUGACGCUGAUGCACGAAAGCGUGGGUAUCAAACAGGAUUAGAUACCCGAGUAGUC